CGGCGGUGUAAACCGGAGGAAGGUGGGGAUGACGUCAAGUCCUCAUGGCCUUUAUGCUUAGGGCUACACACGUGCUACAAUGGGUGGUACAAAGAGAAGCCAACUCGCGAGAGCGCGCCAAUCUCAAAAAGCCAUCCUCAGUUCGGAUUGGAGUCUGCAACUCGACUCCAUGAAGUUGGAAUCGCUAGUAAUCGCGGAUCAGCAUGCCGCGGUCGAAUACGUUCCCGGGCCUU
rnacentral:rRNA from 1 species